UACCAGCACCCCGAGUGGUCGGGACGAUUAUUGGGCGUAAAGAGCUCGUAGGCGGUGUGUCGCGUCGGCCGUGAAAACCUGCAGCUUAACUGUGGGCUUGCGGUCGAUACGGGCAUCACUGGAGUUCGGCAGGGGAGACUGGAAUUCCUGGUGUAGCGGUGAAAUGCGCAGAUAUCAGGAGGAACACCGGUGGCGAAGGCGGGUCUCUGGGCCGAUACUGACGCUGAGGAGCGAAAGCGUGGGGAGCGAACAGG
rnacentral:rRNA from 1 species